rnacentral:lncRNA from 1 species
CUGGGCAACAGCAACACAGUGAGACUUCAUCUAAAAAAAAUAAAAAUAAAAAUAAAUAAAAAAUAAAAAGAAUGCCUCACUGAUGUGUGUGGAUGGUAGAGGAGGUGUGAGGUGAUAUCUCAUUGUAGUUUUGACUUGCAUUUCUCUGAUGAUUAGUUACUUUAAGCACUUUUUCAUGUAUGGGUUGGUUGCUUGUAAGUCUUCUUUGGAGAAAUAUCUAUUCAAGUCCUUCAGCUAUUUUUUAAUCAGGUUAUUUGGUUUUUUACUAUUGAGGUAUAGGAGCUCCUUUAUCAAAUGUUUGGUUUACAAAUAUUUACUGUAUUAGUCCAUCAUGCUGCUGAUAAAGAUAUACCCAAGAUUGGGCAAUUUAACAAAUAAAAAAGUUUAUUGGACUUACAGUUCCACAUGGCUGGGGAGGCCUCACAAUCAUAGUGGAAAGCAAGGAGGAGCAAGUCACAUCUUACAUGGAUGGCAGCAGGCAAAGA